rnacentral:misc_RNA from 1 species
AUGGGGUUGUUAUCCUACUCUGAGUAAGUUAACACUUUGGCUUCUAACUUUUUUACAGCAUCUUUUCGUUUCCUCUCAUGAAAUGGAUUUCUCUGAGAAUCCAUUGUCCUUUCAAACAAUCUUUUGGCAUUGCUUUUGAGCCCACUUACAAUUUAUAAAUGUAAUUUAAGGCAUCUGAUUUAUGCUUUGUUGAAUUCUAAUGGUGAGGAUUCUUAAUCAAGAGUUGAUUUAUUACUCAAAGUUGGUGCUUCUGUAGCUUGUGGAAUGCUCUUAGAUAGUAUUCUUUGGAAGAGAGGGAAAAGAAGAAUUUAAUCAUGUUGAGAAGGUGGUCAUGGAAAAUCGUACUCCGUUUGCAACUUCUCAUUUUAGCCUCAUUGCUAUGAUCUCACUAUCAUUUAUGCUUAAUUCUUGCUAGCUACUUA